GACGAACGCUGGCGGCGUGCUUAACACAUGCAAGUCGAACGGAAAGGCCUUUUCGGAGGUACUCGAGUGGCGAACGGGCGAGUAACACGUGGGUGAUCUGCCCUGCACUCUGGGAUAAGCCUGGGAAACUGGGUCUAAUACCGGAUAGGACCGCACUUUAGUGUGUGUGGUGGAAAGUUUUUUCGGUGUAGGAUGAGCCCGCGGCCUAUCAGCUUGUUGGUGGGGUAAUGGCCUACCAAGGCGGCGACGGGUAGCCGGACUGAGAGGUUGGUCGGCCACAUUGGGACUGAGAUACGGCCCAGACUCCUACGGGAGGCAGCAGGGGGGAAUAUUGCACAAUGGGCGCAAGCCUGAUGCAGCGAGGCCGCGUGGGGGAUGACGGCCUUCGGGUUGUAAACUCCUUUCGCCAGGGACGAAGCGUUUUGUGACGGUACCUGGAGAAGAAGCACCGGCUAACUACGUG
rnacentral:rRNA from 1 species